AUUGAACGCUGGCGGCAUGCUUUACACAUGCAAGUCGAACGGUAACAGGCCGCAAGGUGCUGACGAGUGGCGAACGGGUGCGUAAUGCAUCGGAACGUGCCCAGUCGUGGGGGAUAACUACUCGAAAGAGUAGCUAAUACCGCAUACGAUCUAUGGAUGAAAGCGGGGGACCGUAAGGCCUCGCGCGAUUGGAGCUGCCGAUGUCAGAUUAGGUAGUUGGUGGGGUAAAGGCUCACCAAGCCAACGAUCUGUAGCUGGUCUGAGAGGACAACCAGCCACACUGGGACUGAGACACGGCCCAGACUCCUACGGGAGGCAGCAGUGGGGAAUUUUGGACAAUGGGCGCAAGCCUGAUCCAGCAAUGCCGCGUGCAGGAAGAAGGCCUUCGGGUUGUAAACUGCUUUUGUACGGAACGAAACGGCUCUGGUUAAUACCCGGGGCUAAUGACGGUACCGUAAGAAUAAGCACCGGCUAACUACGUG
rnacentral:rRNA from 1 species